UAAAAGCAGGAACAAUUUCUGCUAGGUCCCUGAUGUUAAAAUACCAUGAUUAUUUGAGACCAACUGUUUUCUUUAAAGCAGCAUUACUCAAAGUGUUUCUAGGAAUUGCUGUAACCGGAAGAAAAAAAAAAGGCUUCUCUGGUCAGGUAAGUUUGGGGAAUGCUAGGUUGCAUACAAGUACACAGGUUAAUUUCCUGUCAGACUUCAGAGCUUUCAAAAAACCUAAGUGAACCUGUUUUGCAGACAGCAUCUCUGUGUGUGAAUGCUCUCCAGAGCGACUUAAAGAAAUGCUGCCUUAGAGACGUUUGGUCCACAAACCAGAGUGACAGAG
rnacentral:lncRNA from 10 species